UAUACUGCAAAACAGAAUUGAGCUCUGGGAACGAGCUUAAUUGACCGAACGUCUGGGAGUAACUUUAUGCGCGUAGAUAGUCGAGUUAUUAGACCAUUUAACGAUGUAAUAGCAAAUGAAAAUGAAUAUCGACAACACUAGACUAGUUUUUACGCAUGAAACAUCUUUGAUGACGUUUAAUCAUGGCAAUUCCCAACUCUAUAUACCUCGAAGAAGAUAUAAAUCGAGUUUAGAUAAAUUAUGCGUAAAUCGAUUUAAAACCAAUAGUCAUCCUGAUUUUUAACAAUUUAUUUCUCGUUAAGCAAUGCUCUACCAAGGACUCUCAACCAUAGCCGCGAACUGUUAACGCGAUGCAACUCGAAUGACAUAAAAUUUACGAUUCCAUCGCGAUGAAUUUCAAUGUGACGAACAUAUAUAUAUAUAUAUAUAUAUAUAUAUAUAUAUAUAUAUAUAUAUAUCGACAUAUAAGUCGGGGUCAAAAAGGGAGGGUUGGUCGUGGAAGCAGACACCGAGACUUUCUGGCGCCUGCCUUGCGGCGUCUCGCCGAAACGUAUUCGAAUGAACGUUUUCUCGUAACGACCAAAUGUGUUUUCAUAAAAACAAAAUACCAUUUCGAAAUAAGUAUUUACAAUAGCAUGAGAAAAAAAUAUUGUUAUUUAUACGAGAGCUAUCGAUCGUCGAUAAAAAUUCUUCGAAUUUGACGCUUAACGUAAUUCCCUCAAUUCGCAGAAUGAAUGUAUCUAUUACAUAUAUCUAUUACAUAUGAAACAAACAACGUAGCAACGACGUCGAUAUAUCUUGAAGAAUAAAAUGAAUUAAGGAAUAUCAUGUCGAUCGAGAUAAAAGAUUAAAUUGGAUCGAACGUGGAGGCACUUAUAGCAACAAAGACCUGUGCCGUUUAGACAGGUGUGAUACCAGAUCGACGUGCUAUAGGAUUGGUCGAACGACCGUUAGUAACCAUCGUUGCUGAGAACAACGACAACGAGGACGAGGAAAAGACGAUGAAAGAGCUACACAACGACUAGAAGCAACAUGAGAAACGCAACGAUCGUCCCUAUGCUAUUCUGGGACGGUCGACGGCAUUGCGACGGUGCCUUGACUUCUGACCGUUUCUCGUCGUCGUGGUCUCAAAUAGUACGAUUUGCUGCCACCUUUAACACUUUUCCUCCUUAACAGAG